rnacentral:rRNA from 1 species
UACAGAGGUCUCAAGCGUUGUUCGGAUUCAUUGGGCGUAAAGGGUGCGUAGGCGGCGCGGUAAGUCGGGUGUGAAAUCUUGGAGCUUAACUCCGAAACUGCAUUCGAUACUGCCGUGCUUGAGGACUGGAGAGGAGACUGGAAUUUACGGUGUAGCGGUGAAAUGCGUAGAGAUGUGGAGGAACACCAGUGGCGAAGGCGACUCUUUGGUCUGUAACUGACGCUGAGGCGCGAAAGCGUGGGGAGCAAACAGG